rnacentral:rRNA from 1 species
AGUGAACGCUGGCGGUAGGCCUAACACAUGCAAGUCGAACGGCAGCACAGUAAGAGCUUGCUCUUACGGGUGGCGAGUGGCGGACGGGUGAGGAAUACAUCGGAAUCUACUUUUUCGUGGGGGAUAACGUAGGGAAACUUACGCUAAUACCGCAUACGACCUACGGGUGAAAGCAGGGGAUCUUCGGACCUUGCGCGAUUGAAUGAGCCGAUGUCGGAUUAGCUAGUUGGCGGGGUAAAGGCCCACCAAGGCGACGAUCCGUAGCUGGUCUGAGAGGAUGAUCAGCCACACUGGAACUGAGACACGGUCCAGACUCCUACGGGAGGACGCAGUGGGGAAUAUUGGACAAUGGGGGCAAGCCUGAUCCAGCAAUACCGCGUGGGUGAAGAAGGCCUUAGGGUUGUAAAGCCCUUUUGUUGGGAAAGAAAAGCAGCAGGUUAAUACCCCGCUGUUCUGACGGUACCCAAAGAAUAAGCACCGGCUAACUUCGUG